rnacentral:rRNA from 1 species
UACGUAGGUGGCAAGCGUUGUCCGGAUUUACUGGGCGUAAAGAGCGCGCAGGCGGUCGAUCAAGUCGCGUGUGAAAGCCCCCGGCUCAACUGGGGAGGGUCACGCGAUACUGAUCGACUCGAAGGCAGGAGAGGGUAGUGGAAUUCCCGGUGUAGUGGUGAAAUGCGUAGAUAUCGGGAGGAACACCAGUGGCGAAGGCGACUACCUGGCCUGUUUCUUGACGCUGAGGCGCGAAAGCUAGGGGAGCAAACAGG